AUUGAACGCUGGCGGCAGGCCUAACACAUGCAAGUCGAGCGAGUGGCGGACGGGUGAGUAAUGUAUGGGGAUCUGCCUGAUAGAGGGGGAUAACUACUGGAAACGGUGGCUAAUACCGCAUACUAUCGGAUGUACCCAUAUGGGAUUAGCUAGUAGGUGGGGUAAAGGCUCACCUAGGCGACGAUCUCUAGCUGGUCUGAGAGGAUGACCAGCCACACUGGAACUGAGACACGGCCCAGACUCCUACGGGAGGCAGCAGUGGGGAAUAUUGCACAAUGGGCGCAAGCCUGAUGCAGCCAUGCCGCGUGUAUGAAGAAGGCCUUCGGGUUGUAAAGUACUUUCAGCGGGGAGGCGUUACUCGCAGAAGAAGCACCGGCUAACUCCGUGCCAGCCGCCGCGGUAAUAC
rnacentral:rRNA from 1 species